rnacentral:rRNA from 1 species
CAAUAGCGUAUAUUAAAGUUGUUGCGGUUAAAAAGCUCGUAGUUGGAUUUCUGGAGGGAGCGUCGACCCGUAUUUACGAGUGCGUGACGUCUCUGUCCAUCCUUGCGGGAAGGCACGGCAUUGAUUUGUUGUGUCGGAUCGCAUCAUUUACUGUGAAAAAAUUAGAGUGUUCAAAGCAGGCUUUCGCUUGAAUACAUUAGCAUGGAAUAAUAAGAUAGGACUUUGGUGCUAUUUUGUUGGUUGAGCCUAAAGUAAUGAUUAAUAGGGAUAGUUGGGGGCACCUGUAUUGCGUUGUCAGAGGUGAAAUUCUUGGAUUUACGCAAGACAAACAGCUGCGAAAGCGUCUGCCAAGGAUGUUUUCAUUAA